UACGAAGGGGGCUAGCGUUGCGCGGAAUCACUGGGCGUAAAGGGUGCGUAGGCGGGUCUUUAAGUCAGGGGUGAAAUCCUGGAGCUCAACUCCAGAACUGCCUUUGAUACUGAAGAUCUUGAGUUCGGGAGAGGUGAGUGGAACUGCGAGUGUAGAGGUGAAAUUCGUAGAUAUUCGCAAGAACACCAGUGGCGAAGGCGGCUCACUGGCCCGAUACUGACGCUGAGGCACGAAAGCGUGGGGAGCAAACAGG
rnacentral:rRNA from 1 species